AAGAGAGUUCCCCAUUCUCUGCAUCCUCCAACAUCUGCUGUUUCAUGAGCUGUUAAUUUCAGCAAUUCUGACAGGUAUGAGGUGGUAACUCAUCAUAGUUUUGAAUUGUAAUUCCCUAAUGAGGAGUGAUGUUGAGCAUCUUUUCAUGUGUCUGUUAGCCAUCUGGGUGUCUUCUUUUGAAAUAAUGUGUAUUCAUGUCUUCUGCCCACUUCUUCACUGGAUUAUUUGUUUUC